GCAGGCGCGGAACCCCCGCGCGGGAGAGCAGGACCGGCUGGUGAGAGACGAGAGGCGAGGGGACUCUGCUUUCGGUAAAUAGGAAGCCCGGUGGGGGGGAGGAGCGGCGGCCCCGCAACUUCCCUCCCCGCCUCGAGUACCGCCGCCGGGCCCGGGCCUAGCUCUCGCUGGCCGCCGCCGCCGCCGGAGCUGAUGCCGGAGCCCGCUACGUGCCCCCGCUUGGCCGCCGCCGCCUCCUGCGCCGCCGCUUCCGCCGGUGAAUGGUCAGCGCUGGAGUUUGAACAGGGCCCUGAACCAUCUCAACGCCAUUUGCGCUCCCGGCCCCCACCUCCUUCCUGCAACAGCCGCUCGCUCCGUCACUCCGCUUCCCACAGUCCCCGCGCGGCCGCCUGACCCCACAGCCAAUCGCGCAGCCGUUUACUCAAACCGCCGCGCAGGCGCUGCGCCCCGCAUGCUCCGGCGCCCGCCAUUGGCCCGGCCGCGGGGCCCGACGGGAGUUGUAGUCCAGGUCCGCGAGGUUGCAGGAGCCGAGGUCCAGGCGCUGGCGCGGGAGCUGGAGCGGGCGACAGGCCUGGCCCUCCUGGGCUCUGGAGCCAAUGCUAGCUCCUCGGCCCCGCCAGGAGAUGCAGGUGCCACGGGGAUAGGCGGCCGGGCCGGGGGCUGCAGUGCAGGCAGCUGUAUCAAUCGCUUCCCCUCCGGGGACCCGCCGGUGUCUGGGGACCGCGGGUUGUGCAGCUGUGCCGGGCCUGCAGGGGCCGUCUCCCAGGAGCGGAGAGGCAGGGAGCGCGUGGUCCAGAGCCUCCCUCGAUCUGGCCUGGCCGGUCCUGGCCUGGCGCAGGUAGAGUGAUCUGGUGUCAGAACUGUAAAAUACGCCUAUGGAAACGGGGAGAGGAAUAAACAAGCUGGCAGGACGUUUUUCAUUGUUGACUCUGCGUGAUGCGAACACAUGCGCUCAUCAUACAGUCUCUCUACUUGUGUAUCUGAAACUUUCAUAAUAAAAAGUUUAAAGAAGUGAACUAGUGAUUGCCUCUAGGGAGGACAGGGAGGUGGUGGAUGACGGGAGGAAGGAGUAUUAAUUUUUCGCUGUACACCCUUUUAGGGUUUUUCCCAUUCAAUGUGUUACCUAAUUCAGAAAAUUGGGAAGUUUUUUUUUAAGGCUACCAUGGGAAAACAGCGUUCUAAAGAGUAGCACAACCAGUUCCCCCUAAGAGAGGUGCAUGAGUCAUCGGAUUCGGACAGCCUUGGUGUUUGUUAGACGGUUAAUGGAGACCCACCUGGGAAAUUGGAAAACUAAUUGCUUUCAGUGAAAAGCCCGCCCUUCCACAAAUGGAUUGCUUUAUGCACCCAGAAGUUAUCCAGCUCCCUCCGGUAUAAUCGGGGAAAACUCCAAAUAAAGGAAAAGUAGUUCAGAGACCCUGCAGCCUUUCCCAGUAGGAAUUUAAGAUGGAUUUUAGUGUGGUUGGAUUGUUUUGCCUACCUGACUGUUUGCAGAAUUUAUAUUCUGACAUUUACAAUUUCCCAAAUACUGAAUCCGUAUUUUUCUUGUUUCAAAAUAAAUCAACUUCUUCUGCAGUUUAUAUGAAUAACAAGUCGUGUUUUCCACUGUGGGUGGAAUCCACAUGACUUUUAUUUGGGUCAGUUUUGUCUCUUUUCUUUAAUUGGCAGUUUAGGAACUUGUUUUUAUCAUUUUGUUUAAAUAUCUCUGGCAGAGGUGCAGGUUGCACUUACUAUAAUUAUUUAGAUGACAAGGUGGCGGGUGCUAAUUAAAGGGUAAUUAUCAUCAGAGGCAAAAGCCAGAAGAGGUGAGGAGACAAUUGCCAAGAUCUUCCUGUAGGAGGGUGUUGUGAACCUCCCAAGACCAAAGGAUGUGUCCAUUAUGCUUGGCCUCUCUAGUGCUGGACACUUGGCAGGGUCAGUAGCUGCAAGAAGCUGAAGUGGAAGGGCUCAUUGUCUACACUGUGUGAUGCCUUUUGAGGGCUUUUGUGUGGUGGUUGUGUUAAGUAAUGGAAUUUAGUGUCAAAUUCUUGCCAGUCAAAGAAUGAUCCCCAGUCAGCAGUGUAGCAUAACCUGGGAGUAUGUAAGGAAUGCGUAAUUCCUGUCUUCACCCCAGCUCCACUGAAUCAGAACCUGCAUUUUCACAGGAUUCCCCCAGCUGAUUGCGCUGCACAUUAAAGUUUGACAAGCACUGAUUUAAAGUAUACACGUAGCAUGUGACAGCAACCUAGUAUUUUUUGUUAGGAUGAGGGAGAGGAAGGAAGAUGAUUAAGAACCUUGUAUUUAUCACGUAAGAUGCUAGGCUGAUCAGGGGCCUUGUCUGCUUCCCAGCCUGUUACCCUAUCUUACAGGUAAGAAAUGGGGAGACUUGUAUAUUAUAACUAAUGAGGGAGUCAAGCUUUUUCUUAACAGUUGUUUACCCACUAGUACUUGUGAAUGUUCUUGAAUCUGGUAGAAGUGGUACGUGAUUUGAGAAGUAAACUGUGUGUGUGUGUGUGUGUGUUUAGUUUGUGGAAGCUUAUUUGUGUGUGUGUGUGUGUGUAUUUAGUCUAUGAAAGCUUAUUUUGUGUGUAUUUAGUCUGUGGAAGCUUAGUGUGUGUGUGUGUGUGUGUGUGUGUAUUUAGUCUGUGGAAGCUUGGUAUAUGAAUAUUAAGCAGAGCUCUUCUGGGCUGUGUACUCUUGUGUGCCUCAUACUAAAGAGACCUCUCGGUCCCCUCGAGGGAGUUCAGACUCUCAGCCCUACAGUCUGUACCCCACCUUAAACCUUUACCUCCCCUGCUUCCACAGAGGCAGGCAAAUGUCCUGAAGUCAUCUCAUUCCCUUAUGGGGGCCCUGGGUUCCACGCCAGAAUGAGCAAACAGGACUCCAGUGUGGAUGUUACAUGGCUGAGCAGUUUUUUGUUGUGCUGUUUUUGUUUUCCUAGUUCUCUCAACUCAGGCUCCGCCCUCUGCCCACCCACCUGGCCCCCCUCAAUCAGUAGAAUGGUUGUCUUCUUGAGAAUCUUCUUCACACUAACAUCAAGUAGCCUAUAGGUGCUUUUUGUUUUGCUAGAAAGCCUCUGUGCAAGCUCUCAGAUACCUGAUUUAUUCCCCUCACUAACUGCUGUAUUUGUGUCAGAAACUGAAAUCAUGAAUUGGAGCCAAGUUUGUCGUACCCUUAGGAGGGGCUUCUGCCCUCCUGUGUGCUGCCUGCUUGAGGGCAGAACUCCCUACUUCCUGGAGCUCCACUUGAGCGGGCCCAUACCUGUACUUUCCUCUGAAAAAAGAAAAUCCUACAAAGAAAUAGAAAACACAGGCCGGGUGCAGUGGCUCACACCUGUAAUCCCAGCACUUUGGAAGGCCAAGGCAGGCAGAUCACGAGGUCAAGAGAUCAAGAUCACCCUGGCCAACAUGGUGAAACCCUGUCUCUAUUAACAGUACAAAAAAUUAGCCAGGUGUGGUGGUGCCUGCCUGUAGUCCCAGCUACUCGGGAGGCUGAGGCAGGAGAAUUGCUUGAACCCAGGAGGCGGAGGUUGCGGUGAGCCAAGAUCGCGACACUGCACUCCAGCCUGGCGACAGAGCAAGACUCCACCUCAAUUAAAAAAAAAAAAAAAGAAAACAUCUGUUCUGCCAUUGUGGUGCCCUUAUUCUAGCCCAGACAUGAGAACUGUCAGAAUUGGAGUUACUAAACAGAAUUUGUUAGUCUUUUUCUGAUUAUGUUUAGUAAAGUGUAUUACAACUUACAGAAUUCUACAUAGGGAACCUGAAGGUCAGAAACUACCAUUUUGGUAGCAGUCAAUUUUUCUUUGCCAUAGAAUGUUGAAUAAAAUGUUAAAUUGCAGGCCGGGCGCCGUGGUUCAAGCCUGUAAUCCCAGCACUUUGGGAGGCCAGAGGCGGGUGGAUCACGAGAUCAAGGAGAUGGAGACCAUCCUGGUCAACAUGGUGAAACCCCGUCUCUACUAAAAAUACAAAAAAUUAGCUGGGCAUGGUGGCAUGUGCCUGUAAUCCCAGCUACUCAGGAGGCUGAGGGAGGAGAAUUGCCUGAACCCAGGAGGCAGAGGUUGCGGUGAACCGAGAUCGCGCCAUUGCACUCCAGCCUGGGUAACAAGAGUGAAACUCCAUCUCAAAAAAAAAAAAAAAAAAAGUGUUAAAUUGCACGCUUGGAUAUUGUCGUGGUUGUGUUACAAAGCUCUACAAGAUGUGGGCCAGGCCUGCCCUUCACUCAUGCAGCUCCUACUUUCUGCUCUGCCUACACCUGACUCUUUGCUGUUUCCCCAACUUAGGGCCUUUGCAUUUCCUAUUGCCUUUGCCCACAACUCCCCGAGAUACCAGCCUGCUUCAAUUCCUCACCUCCUUUAAGUUUUUCACUUAAAUAGGACUUUUCAGUGAAUCUCCCCUGACCAACUUAUUUUAAAUUGUUGUAACAUCGUCACUCCUAAAUGUCACUGUCCCUGCUUUACUUUCCUUCAGGGGAUUUAUCUUUCCAUCUACAUCAGGCGUUUUGCAUGUUUAUCUUACAUGUUGUUAAGGGCAGGGAUCUCUGCCUGUCUUGUGAAAACAAGACAAACCUUGCUGCAACCCUAGCACCUAGAAGAGUGCCUGGCAUAGAGUACGUGCUCAAUAAAUAUUUGUUGAAUAAAGGCACCCAUUUAUUUCCGUCUUUCAUGUAAGAUUAUAUACAUAUAUAUACACACAUGUACAUAUAUGUGUGCUACUGCACUCCAGCCUGGGCAAUGCAGUGAGAACUCUGUCUCAAAAAAAAAAAGUGUGUGUAUAUAUAUAUAUAUAUAUAUAUAUACACCUUUUUAUGUAUAUAUAUAUUUAUACACAUAUAUAUGUAUAUAUAUAUUUAUACUUUUAUUUUUGAGACAGAGUCUCACUGCGUUGCCCAGGCUGGAGUGCAGUAGUACCAUCUCUAGUCACUGCAAACUUCCACCUCCAGGGCUCAAGCCAUCCUUCGACCUCAGCCUCUCAAGUAGCUGGGACUACAUGUCUGUGCUACCACUGCCGCGCUAAUUUUUGUAUUUUUGUUAGAG
rnacentral:lncRNA from 1 species